UGGGGAAUUUUGGACAAUGGGCGCAAGCCUGAUCCAGCCAUGCCGCGUGCGGGAAGAAGGCCUUCGGGUUGUAAACCGCUUUUGUCAGGGAAGAAAUCUUCUGAGUUAAUACCUCGGGAGGAUGACGGUACCUGAAGAAUAAGCACCGGCUAACUACGUGCCAGCAGCCGCGGUAAUACGUAGGGUGCAAGCGUUAAUCGGAAUUACUGGGCGUAAAGCGUGCGCAGGCGGUUUUGUAAGACAGAGGUGAAAUCCCCGGGCUCAACCUGGGAACUGCCUUUGUGACUGCAAGGCUUGAGUGCGGCAGAGGGGGAUGGAAUUCCGCGUGUAGCAGUGAAAUGCGUAGAUAUGCGGAGGAACACCGAUGGCGAAGGCAAUCCCCUGGGCCUGCACUGACGCUCAUGCACGAAAGCGUGGGGAGCAAAACAGGAUUAGAUACCCUGGUAGUCCACGCCCUAAACGAUGUCAACUGGUUGUUGGGAAGGUUCCUUCUCAGUAACGUAGCUAACGCGUGAAGUUGACCGCCUGGGGAGUACGGCCGCAAGGUUGAAACUUAAAUGAAUUGACGGGGUCAUAGCUGUUU
rnacentral:rRNA from 1 species